UUUACUAGUACAUCUUAAAAGAGUAGAGUCAAUGUUUCAGUUCCCACAGUAAAACUUUAAUCAGGACAUGUACUAAUUUACUGAUGAAAGUUCCACUGUGGGAACUGAAACGUUGACUCUACUCUUUUAAGAUGUAAUAUUAAAA